UGGCUGUUGCCAACGCUGUUCCACUGUCGCCCGAUCAAACCCUGAUCAUCAACAGCCCGACAUCAACUGAUUGCUUCUUCCACAAUUGAAAGUAGGAAGAUUCUUGCCCAUGGAUUGAGAAAACUUCAAACUGAAACACAAUAGUUUUAACCAUUUAUGCUGAAGUCACACAACCAAAUAAAUACAUAAAAAGAGAGAAAAAUGCAUUCGCACUAGAAAGGAAAACAAGACAAGUUUUAUUUGUGCGUAGCUACCAACUAAUGUAUUUAAAUUUCUUAGAAAAAAUAUGGAACAGGACUCCGAUAAGCUGUUAAAAAUGUUAUUCCUAAUGUGCAUAAUUAAUAGCUUUCAUUAUAGUCUCUCAAUCAAUGCUCUCAUUUCCUACUGCACUUGAGUCACUCCGAUUUUACUAUCGACUAUAUAAGAUCUGGUUCCGUAGAUCGAGAGCAUCAGUUAUAGAUGUUCGUUGGUCCGGUGUGCAGCUUAUAAAACCCGGAUCUAUUUAUUGAUAAUCAAUAUGAGAUUCUUUACAGUCAUCACCGUCCUUGUGCUUGGUGUCCUGUCUCUAGCCAAAGCUGUUCCGCUGUCACCCGAUCCAGGAAAUGUUAUCAUCAAUGGCGAUUGUGUACACUGCAAUGUUCGCGGUGGCAAAUAGAGAAUUGUAAUUAAAUAAACCCUAGAAUGUAAAAUGCCUUUUCCAGUUGUAAUAAAAUAGC